AUUGAACGCUGGCGGCAGGCCUAACCCAUGCAAGUCGAACGAGUGGCGGACGUGUGAGUAAUGUCUGGGAAACUGCCUGAUGGAGGGGGAUAACUACUGGAAACGGUAGCUAAUACCGCAUACCAUCAGAUGUGCCCAGAUGGGAUUAGGUAGUAGGUGGGGUAAUGGCUCACCUAGGCGACGAUCCCUAGCUGGUCUGAGAGGAUGACCAUCAACACGGGAACUAGGACACGGUCCAGACUCCUACGGGAGGCAGAAGUGGGGAAUAUUGCACAAGGGGCGCAAGCCUGAUGCAGCCAUGCCGCGUGUAUGAAGAAGGCCUUGGGGUUGUAAAGUACUUUCAGCGGGGAGGCGUUACCCGCAGAAGAAGCACCGGCUAACUCCGUGCCAGCAGCCGCGGUAAUAC
rnacentral:rRNA from 1 species